rnacentral:lncRNA from 1 species
GGCCAGAGAUCGGUUCUCUGCCACCCACAGCGUGCCAAUUGAAGAGUUAAUUAAUUAGCAGGACAGGCUGUGGGGUAGUGGGGUGCAUGUCCUCCAUGUUGUCUGCUGGAGGAGGACCCUGGUGAUGCAGGGGGGUGAAGACUGCCAGGUCUGCACCCAGCAUCCCCGUGAGACAUGGGUGCCACCCCGCUGCCUGCACCCCCCAGGUGUGGAAGCGCUCCGGUGCCUGGUUCUUCAAGGGUUUGCCCAAGCAAGUGCUGCCUCAGCCGAUGCCCGUCAGCAAGAACAAGGGACCCCAACCUCCGAGCGAGCCCGGCCCAUCAGAGCUGCCCACCCAGGACCCGAAACUCCCCUCCCGUGCGCCCACCCGAGGCCAGGUGGACGCUAGGCCCCCGGCCGAGCAGGACUCCGAUGGCAGUGACGUGACGGCGGCUGCCCAGGGGAGCUCCGCGGUGCCCGGCCGCAGGCUGGCCGAGGGCAGGCCGGGCCCGUGCGGCAGCGAGCACGCUGGCGGGGACGCCGACAGCCGUGAUUACGCUGCCGAGAGCGGGGUCAGCAGGAGCCCUGGUGAGAGCUACGCUUCUGCACGCUUCUGCGUGCUUGGAGGGAGAGGGCUGGGGGGCACGAAGCCAGGAGCUGUACAGGGGUUGUCUGCGCUCCAUGUGAUGCUGAGGGAUUUCGCAUUGCAGAGCACCCGUGUCUGAUGUUUUACGCUGCUCCGUGGGGUU